UGCGUAGGCGGCCAGAUCAGUCAGGCGUGAAAGUUUUCGGCUUAACCGGAAAAUUGCGUUUGAUACUGUUUGGCUAGAAUCAGGAUGAGGUUGGCGGAAUGUGGCAUGUAGCGGUGAAAUGCAUAGAUAUGCCAUAGAACACCGAUUGCGAAGGCAGCUGGCUGGACCUGAAUUGACGCUGAGGCACGAAAGCGUGGGGAGCGAACAGGAUUAGAUACCCUGGUAGUC
rnacentral:rRNA from 1 species